AUGAAUAGCGAUAGCUAGUUGCACAUAUAUGUGAUGCAAAAUCGACUCAGUCGAAUAAAAUUCUGGGCAUAAUUAUGAUGAUGACAUUAUUUACCCAUGUGUCUUGACCAAAUUACGUGCCAGCAGUCGCGGUAAUACGUAGAAGACUAGUGUUAUUCAUCUUUAAUAGGUUUAAAGGGUACCUAGACGGUAAAUAAAGCCCUUGCAUAGCAUGACGGGACUAAUUUGCUAGAGUUACUUACGCGGGGGUUUUAAAGUACUAAUGGUGUAGAGAUAAAAUUUUGUAAUACCAUUUUUCGAAAGAAAAGUUUUGGCACUGGUAAAGGCGAA
rnacentral:rRNA from 1 species